ensembl:snoRNA
UGGAUAAAUGAUGACAAGUGGUGGCAUGCAAGUCUUGGAUGAUGACCACUACAGGCCUGAAACUCUGGGGUCCAA